CAGCCGUAAACAAUGUGCGUUAGGUGUGUCGGUAACCACGCGUUACUGAUGCGCCGAAGAGAAAUCGUGAAACGCACCGCCUGGGAAGUACGGUCGCAAGGCUGAAACUUAAAGGAAUUGGCGGGGGGAGCACCACAACAGGUGGAGCCUGCGGUUUAAUUGGACUCAACGCCGGAAAUCUCACCGGAUAGGACAGACAUAUGAUAGUCGGGCUGAAGACUCUACUUGAUGAUCUGAGAGGUGGUGCAUGGCGUCAGUGACU
rnacentral:rRNA from 1 species